rnacentral:rRNA from 1 species
AUUGAACGCUGGCGGCAGGCCUAACACAUGCAAGUCGAACGAGUGGCGGACGGGUGAGUAAUGUCUGGGAAACUGCCUGAUGGAGGGGGAUAAAUACUGGAAACGGUAGCUAAUACCGCAUACCCUCAGAUGUGCCCAUAUGGGAUUAGCUUGUUGGUGGGGUAACGGCUGACCAGGGCGACGAACCCUCUCUGGUCUGAGAGGAUGACCAGCCACACUGGAACUGAGACACGGUCCAGACUCCUCCGGGAGGCAGCAGUGGGGAAUAUUGCACAAUGGGCGCAAGCCUGAUGCAGCCAGGCCGCGUGUAUGAAGAAGGCCUUCGGGGUGUAAAGUACUUUCAGCGGGGAGGCGUUACCCGCAGAAGAAGCACUGGCUAACUCCGUGCCAGCAGCCGCGGUAAUUC